rnacentral:rRNA from 1 species
CAGUAGCCGCGGGAAUACGUAGGUGGCAAGCGUUGUCCGGAAUUAUUGGGCGUGAAGGGCUCGCAGGCGGUUUCUUAAGUCUGAUGUGAAAGCCCCCGGCUCAACCGGGGAGGGUCAUUGGAAACUGGGAAACUUGAGUGCAGAAGAGGAGAGUGGAAUUCCACGUGUAGCGGUGAAAUGCGUAGAGAUGUGGAGGAACACCAGUGGCGAAGGCGACUCUCUGGUCUGUAACUGACGCUGGGGAGCGAAAGCGUGGGGAGCGAACAGGAUUAGAUACCCGGGUAGUCCCUGUCUCUUAUAC